AUUAAACGCUGGCGGCAUGCCUUACACAUGCAAGUCGAACGGUAGCGCGGGGCAACCUGGCGACGAGUGGCGAACGGGUGAGUAAAGCAUCGGAACGUGCCCUGGAAUGGGGGAUAACGUAGCGAAAGUUACGCUAAUACCGCAUAUUCUGUGAGCAGGAAAGCAGGGAUCGCAAGACCUUGCGUUCUGGGAGCGGCCGAUGUCGGAUUAGCUAGUUGGUGGGGUAAAAGCCUACCAAGGCGACGAUCCGUAGCGGGUCUGAGAGGAUGAUCCGCCACACUGGGACUGAGACACGGCCCAGACUCCUACGGGAGGCAGCAGUGGGGAAUUUUGGACAAUGGGCGGAAGCCUGAUCCAGCCAUGCCGCGUGAGUGAAGAAGGCCU
rnacentral:rRNA from 1 species